GACGAACGCUGGCGGCGUGCUUAACACAUGCAAGUCGAACGGAAAGGCCCUGCUUUUGUGGGGUGCUCGAGUGGCGAACGGGUGAGUAACACGUGAGUAACCUGCCCUUGACUUUGUGAUAACUUCAGGAAACUGGGGCUAAUACCGGAUAGGAGCUCCUGCUGCAUGGUGGGGGUUGGAAAGUUUCGGCGGUUGGGGCUGGACUCGCGGCUUAUCAGCUUGUUGGUGGGGUAGUGGCUUACCAAGGCUUUGACGGGUAGCCGGCCUGAGAGGGUGACCGGCCACAUUGGGACUGAGAUACGGCCCAGACUCCUACGGGAGGCAGCAGUGGGGAAUAUUGCACAAUGGGCGGAAGCCUGAUGCAGCAACGCCGCGUGCGGGAUGACGGCCUUCGGGUUGUAAACCGCUUUCGCCUGUGACGAAGCGUGAGUGACGGUAAUGGGUAAAGAAGCACCGGCUAACUACGUG
rnacentral:rRNA from 1 species